GAUGAACGCUGGCGGCGUGCCUAAUACAUGCAAGUCGAGCGAACAGACGAGGAGCUUGCUCCUCUGACGUUAGCGGCGGACGGGUGAGUAACACGUGGAUAACCUACCUAUAAGACUGGGAUAACUUCGUGAAACAGGAGCUAAUACUGCAGAAUAUAUUCAACCGCAGGGUUCAGUAGUGAAAGACGGUUUUGCUGACACUUAUAGACGGAUCCGCGCCGCAUUAGCUAGUUGGUAAGGUAACGGCUUACCAAGGCAACGAUGCGUAGCCGACCUGAGAGGGUGAUCGGCCACACUGGAACUGAGACACGGUCCAGACUCCUACGGGAGGCAGCAGUAGGGAAUCUUCCGCAAUGGGCGAAAGCCUGACGGAGCAACGCCGCGUGAGUGAUGAAGGUCUUCGGAUCGUAAAACUCUUUUAUUAGGGAAGAAAAGAUGUGUAAGUAACUCUGGACGUCUUGACGGUACCUAAUGAGAAAGCCACGGCUAACUACGUG
rnacentral:rRNA from 1 species